rnacentral:misc_RNA from 1 species
GUGGACCACAGGCCCUAUUAUAGAUUAGGCACUUUCAUAGAGGCCCACUCCACUACCUAACAUCCAGGGGAAAUUGGACAGUGCCACAGUGGACAUAACUAUCCCAAUGGGAAUUGAAAGUAUGGAAGAGAGAGAAACUUUCUUGUUUUGCCUCGGAGUCUUUGAAUGAACAUCACGUCACAUUCUCAAUAAGAGAAGUAGAAGGGCAAGCAAAAGCGUGAACUUCACGUGGUACACCAGCAGUGAUUCACGUGCCUCCUUGGCUUUUGCGUGUACCUUUUGUUUUUUUGGCCUCAAUGGACGGGGUGACGAAACAAAAUCACAG